AUACUUACCUGGACAGGGGUCGAUGGGUGAUCAAAGAGGCUCAUGGCCUAGACCAAUGGCCUGCAUUGCACUUGGUAGGUGUGUUGGUCUACCAUCUCUCCGGGAGAGUGGACGUCAUAAUUUGUGGAAGAGAGGGACUACCAGAAAACGCUUA